GUUGCGGAUGGGGCGUAGGUGGGCGGUGCGCCCACAGCUGCCUGGGUAAGGCCCAAGAUGGCUGUCUUCGCCUUAGUACUCGUGUGAAGUUGGCGGGGACGGUUCCUGUCAUCUUCUUGGGCUUAUUUGGUGUGCUGUUGAAGGGGGGAGACUAGAGAAAUGGCAGGGAACCUCUUAUCCGGGGCAGGUAGGCGCCUGUGGGACUGGGUGCCUCUGGCGUGCAGAAGCUUCUCUCUUGGUGUGCCUAGAUUGAUCGGUAUAAGGCUCACUCUCCCGCCCCCCAAAGUGGUUGAUCGUUGGAACGAGAAAAGGGCCAUGUUCGGAGUGUAUGACAACAUCGGGAUCCUGGGUAAGACUUGACCUUCGACGUGGUACACAAUUUCAGAAUGGCAAUUAGGCUGUAACGACUAUCUUUUCCUCCUGUGUAGAGAGUGGUACUGUGCUCAAUAGUAAGAGCAAACACUUAUGUAGCUGUUUACAUUGUGUUUGGCACUGUUCUGAGUCCCCUCGUAUAAUUUUUACUUCAUAAGUAAAAAUAAACAGUUUUUCCAAAGUUAAUAAAUGGCAGCAUCAGAAUUUUAACCCCAAGCAGUCUGGCUCCAGAGUCUGUGCUAUUGUUCUGUACUGUAAUGUUCCUUGUCUAUAGGUGCUGCUCAGCAAGAUGCAACCGUGGGUUGAAAGCUUAGCUGGUGUAGGAUGAGUUCUCUUGUCUUGGAUCUAAUGUGUUCUCUCACAUUACACAGGAAACUUUGAAAAGCACCCCAAAGAACUGAUCAGGGGGCCCAUAUGGCUUCGAGGUUGGAAAGGGAAUGAAUUGCAACGUUGUAUCCGAAAGAGGAAAAUGGUUGGAAGUAGAAUGUUCGCUGAUGACCUGCACAACCUUAAUAAACGCAUCCGCUAUCUCUACAAACACUUUAACCGACAUGGGAA
rnacentral:lncRNA from 1 species